AGCUCUGUGCCGACGCCGACCCACCUUCACCGGCCACCAGGAUUUUGUGCUGUGGAGUACCUGAUUUCCCAGCGCUAAUCCUCUCCGGCAGUAAAUUGCCUUGGUUGUGAUUGAAGGUUAUUUCUUGGGUUCCAACAACUACCUAUGUUCCGGCAGCAACAUUACCGGUUGAGGCUUCAGAAUUAAGUAAGUGGAG